CUCGCUCUGUAUAAAAUAUAAUUUUUUUAUUAUUUUAAUUAUUUUUAAAUAUAUAUAAUAGAUAAAUAAAAUAAAAUAUUUUUUAAACAAAUUAUAUUUUGUGCAUCAUAUGAGGUUAUAAGCUAGAAUAUAUUUUAAAUAUUCCACUUCAGGAUGGUGUCGUUUAAUACUGUGGAGGAAUUCGAGAAGGCGGAUCUUCUCGGUGA
rnacentral:lncRNA from 1 species